UUGAUGUGUUUUGAUAUGUGUAUAAUCAGUGGAUGUAUUUUAUGUUUGCAGCUGUACACGUUGGUGUUUUGGAAAAUGAUGAGCUGUUUUGGGCGGGGGCUGAGGCGGACGGCCCCUGCACGCGGCAGCAGCAGGAAUGAGCUGGUGACCCCCUCCACGGCAUCUCUCUCCAGGGUUAACGGCUGGGCCUGUCCCCCUCACUCCUUCCAGCUGGUGGGAUGGACAAUAUACAGCUACAUGGCUGUAGUUGGCUUUGGGAUCUAUAUCCCACUACUACCUUCACCCUGGAGCCACAUGGCCUACUCUCUGACUGGCAUAGCCUUCAUUGUGCACCUGGUCAGCCAUCUAGCUGCCGUGUCUAUAGACCCAGCAGAGGCAGGCGUCCGUGCCAAGAAGAGCUACUCCAACCCACUACCUGUCUUCGACAAGAAGAAACAACCACAUGUUAUCCACAACCUACACUGCUACCUGUGUAAAAUCAAUGUGGACCCAAAAGUGAAACACUGUGGUGUGUGCAACAAGUGUAUUGAAGACUUUGACCACCACUGUAAAUGGCUGAACAACUGUGUGGGGGGGCAGAACUACUGGUACUUCUUUGUGACGGUGUUGUCUGCUACACUGGGCGUCCUUGUGCUUCUCAUGGUCGUCCUGUUCAUCUUCAUCCAGCAUUAUAUGGACCCUGCCAGUCUCCGCACCGCACCACAGUUUACCAGUGUGAUGAGUAACAGGACGUGGCUGGUCUUCCUGCCCCUGGCACCCAUGGAGACAGGGUCAGGGAGUCUCCUGGUUGUCGCCUUCCUCACGGUCAUGUUGGCUACUGGCUCUCUACUGCUGCUGGUUCACCUACUGGGCUUCCACAUCUAUCUCUUGUUAAACAAAAUGAGCACGUAUGACUACAUUAUAACAAGACGUCGUAAACAGGCCAGCCAGCAGGACGUAGAGAUGGGCUUUCCCCAGUCAUCUGACAGCAACGCAGGACAGAAUCAUCCGCAAAUGGAGCCCUCCAUGGAUUGUGAUGCGUUGUUGUCAGACAGUGUCAGCUGCAAGAAUCAGGAAACAGGAACUAUUUCAAGUCAACCUUCUGGAUCUUUCUGUACUGAGUUGGACAACUUUACUAAAUCAUCAGAAAAGGAAAAUGGCUUUUACUAUGGCACAGAGCUACCCACCCAGAUUAUACCAGGUGAGUUUACCCACCCAGAUUAUACCAGGUGAGUAAACCCACCCAGAUUAUACCAGGUGAGUUUACCCACCCAGAUUAUACCAGGUGAGUUUACCCACCCAGAUUAUACCAGGUGAGUUUACCCACCCAGAUUAUACCAGGUGAGUUUACCCACCCAGAUUAUACCAGGUGAGUUUACCCACCCAGAUUAUACCAGGUGAGUAAACCCACCCAGAUUAUACCAGGUGAGUUUACCCACCCAGAUUAUACCAGGUGAGUUUACCCACCCAGAUUAUACCAGGUGAGUUUACCCACCCAGAUUAUACCAGGUGAGUUUACCCACCCAGAUUAUACCAGGUGAGUAAACCCACCCAGAUUAUACCAGGUGAGUUUACCCACCCAGAUUAUACCAGGUGAGUUUACCCACCCAGAUUAUACCAGGUGAGUAAACCCACCCAGAUUAUACCAGGUGAGUUUACCCACCCAGAUUAUACCAGGGGAGUGUACCCACACAGAUUAUACCAGGUGAGUAAACCCACCCAGAUUAUACCAGGGGAGUGUACCCACCCAGAUUAUACCAGGUGAGUUUACCCACCCAGAUUAUACCCGGGGAGUGUACCCACACAGAUUAUACCAGGUGAGUAAACUCACCCAGAUUAUACCAGGUGAGUAAACCCACCCAGAUUAUACCAGGUGAGUAAACCCACCCAGAUUAUACCAGGGGAGUUUACCCACCCAGAUUAUACCAGGUGAGUAAACCCAACCAGAUUAUACCAGGGGAGUUUACCCACCCAGAUUAUACCAGGUGAGUAAACCCACCCAGAUUAUACCAGGUGAGUUUACCCACCCAGAUUAUACCCGGGGAGUGUACCCACCCAGAUUAUACCAGGUGAGUAAACCCACCCAGAUUAUACCAGGUGAGUGAACCCACCCAGAUUAUACCAGGUGAGUUUACCCACCCAGAUUAUACCAGGUGAGUUUACCCACCCAGAUUAUACCAGGUGAGUUUACCCACCCAGAUUAUACCAGGUGAGUUUACCCACCCAGAUUAUACCAGGUGAGUUUACCCACCCAGAUUAUACCAGGUGAGUUUACCCACCCAGAUUAUACCAGGUGAGUAAACCCACCCAGAUUAUACCAGGUGAGUAAACCCACCCAGAUUAUACCAGGUGAGUGAACCCACCCAGAUUAUACCAGGUGAGUAAACCCACCCAGAUUAUACCAGGUGAGUAAACCCACCCAGAUUAUACCAGGUGAGUGAACCCACACAGAUUAUACCAGGUGAGUAAACCCACACAGAUUAUACCAGG